AUUGAACGCUGGCGGCAGGCCUAACACAUGCAAGUCGAGCGCGCGGCGGACGGGUGAGUAAUGUCUGGGAAACUGCCUGAUGGAGGGGGAUAACUACUGGAAACGGUAGCUAAUACCGCAUACCCUCAGAUGUGCCCAUAUGGGAUUAGAUAGUAGGUGGGGUAAUGGCUCACCUAGGCGACGAUCCCUAGCUGGGCUGAGAGGAUGACCAGCCACACUGGAACUGAGACACGGUCCAGACUCCGACGGGAGGCAGCAGUGGGGAAGAUUGCACAAUGGGAGCAAGCCUGAUGCAGCCAUGCCGCGUGUGUGAAGAAGGCCUUCGGGUUGUAAAGUACUUUCAGCGAGGAGGCGUUACUCGCAGAAGAAGCACCGGCUAACUCCGUGCCAGCAGCCGCGGUAAUAC
rnacentral:rRNA from 1 species